UACGAAGGGGGCUAGCGUUGCUCGGAAUCACUGGGCGUAAAGCGCACGUAGGCGGCUUUUUAAGUCAGGGGUGAAAUCCUGGAGCUCAACUCCAGAACUGCCUUUGAUACUGAGAAGCUUGAGUCCGGAAGAGGUUGGUGGAACAGCUAGUGUAGAGGUGAAAUUCGUAGAUAUUAGCUAGAACACCAGUGGCGAAGGCGGCCAACUGGUCCGGUACUGACGCUGAGGUGCGAAAGCGUGGGGAGCAAACAGG
rnacentral:rRNA from 1 species